UACGGGAGGCAGCAGUGGGGAAUCUUGCACAAUGGGCGAAAGCCUGAUGCAGCAACGCCGCGUGCGGGAAGAAGGCCUUAGGGUUGUAAACCGCUUUCAGCAGGGAAGAAAAUGACGGUACCUGCAGAAGAAGGUGCGGCCAACUACGUGCCAGCAGCCGCGGUGACACGUAGGCACCAAGCGUUGUCCGGAUUUAUUGGGCGUAAAGAGCUCGUAGGCGGUUCAGUAAGUCGGGUGUGAAAACUCUGGGCUCAACCCCAGAGAGGCCACCCCGAUACUGCUGUGACUUGAGUACGGUAGGGGAGUGGGGAAUUCCUGGUGUAGCGGUGAAAUGCGCAGAUAUCAGGAGGAACACCAGUGGCGAAGGCGCCACUCUGGGGCCGUAACUGACGCUGAGGAGCGAAAGCGUGGGUAGCAAACG
rnacentral:rRNA from 1 species